GAACUACAGGACUUAAACAGGGCAAUAGUUCUGCCUUUAUAAUUCAUAAGUGACACUUACUUGGUUUUUAUGCUUUAAAGGGUAUGCCUUACAAUGAAAGAAAUGGAAUGAGCAGCUUAUAUAAACUGCAGGUAUUUCUCUUUAAUGUUAAUUGCUUUUUUUUUCAAUUCCCACCCAAUUUUAGCCCAACUCAACUUUUACACUUGCUGUUACAGGGAGGAGUGAGUGUCGCGAGUUAUCCAGGUCCACCAGGACCUCCAGGUCCAAAAGGGGAUCCUGGAACAGCGGGAGACCCAGGACCAAUGGGAUUACCAGGACUGGAAGGACUCCCAGGGGAAAAGGGUGACCGUGGACCAGCAGGAGCACCAGGACUGUCAGGGACACCGGUAUGUAUAUUCUUUAAAGAAAACUCUGGUUUUAGAAGCUGAAAAAACAGGUCAAGCAAGUUGCUG
rnacentral:lncRNA from 1 species